rnacentral:misc_RNA from 1 species
GAAAUGCGAUAAGUAAUGUGAAUUGCAGAAUUCAGUGAAUCAUCGAAUCUUUGAACGCACCUUGCGCUCCUUGGUAUUCCUUGGAGCAUGCCUGUUUGAGUAUCAUGAAAUCUUCAAAGUAAAUCUUUUGUUAACUCAAUUGGUUUCUACUUUGGUAUUGGAGGUCUUUGCAGCUUCACACCUGCUCCUCUUUGUUCAUUAGCUGGAUCUCAGUGUUAUGCUUGGUUCCACUCGGCGUGAUAAGUUAUCUAUCGCUGAGGACACUGUAAAAGGUGGCCAAGGUAAAUGCAGAUGAACCGCUUCUAAUAGUCCAUUGACUUGGACAAUACUUUUAUGAUCUGAUCUGAAAGCAGGUAGGACUACCCGCUGAACUUAAGC